UUGAGAAUGACUUCCGGAUGGGAGCCGAAACGUCUUGAUUCUGAAAACAGUGUCCAGAUGACUACGACUGAAACCUUUUCUACGAUAAUAAAUGACUGUUAACACGACGGUAGUCUCAGGACACGAAGCUAUAACAUCUUAUUGCUUAUAUUCAUGGGUUAUUUCAUAUCAGUUUAUGCUGUGAGUUUACCUGAAAUCACUCACUACUCACUAUAUAGCGGACUAUAUAGUGAGUGUAGAACAGAUGGUCACUAACCAAAUGAUAUAUACCAUCAUACAUUGCACUAAAAGGAAAAUGGUAAACUGACGAGAGGAGAGAGAGCAAUGAAGGCAGCGCGAAAACUGCCAUCCGUUGUAAGGACCGACGACAAUGUGGCAAACUUUAUUUGCCUGAGGAGAGAGAGGGACCACCUCUUAUCAUGGAAGCGUUUUUCCUCUGCAGCCGGAUGAGAAGUUGUAUUUAAAGAGAUGGGCCUAGCUGGCGACUGGUGACUCCUGCCUGAGCAGCCAAGAAGUGGGAAAACUUAAAAAAGACAUACAAGGUUUGGAUUAAAUGUAUUUAACUAUAGCCCUAGAUAAUGAAAGCAUAGAUGAAAGAUCAGUUACUGUUCUCUUGAGUAUUUUCUUUGCUGUAUUUAGCAUUUGAAAUUAACACUACAUGAAUUGUGCACUGCAAAUAUUUUAUAUAAAUUGCAAUGGCAGAGAGAGAAACAGACUUGCUUGUUUGAGAGUUCCCGGUAAACAUGUGGAAGCCUUGCUGUAGAUUUGCAUGAUGCCAGAGGCUUCAGAGCAGGAUGAUAGGACGGCUGGUUCAGGAAGUGGGGUUCUCUCCUGAGUACGUAAAUCACGCUGUCCUUGCCCCUCUCUUCAGAGCCUUCCUUUACUCGCCAAAAUGGUGACAGAAAGUUGAAAACCAGUGGGGGAAAA